CUCUUAUUUGUCAUUUCGGGACACCAUCCUAUACAGUCAUAAUACUUUGACCUUUGAGGAUGUCUAAAAUACUCUAUUCUCAAAGGAGAAGAUGAAGCGUUUAGUUGGAGCUACAUCUAGGGAUAAGGAAGCUUUGGUAUCUCAUGGUGAUAGACGAAGAGGUAGAUUGAGGACGAACUUCAACAAUUUGUACUACUUCUACUGCAAGAGGAAAAAACAUGUUAAGAAAGAUUGCGAUAAGUUACAAGCUAAAGGUAAUUUAGCUACAAAUCAUAGGGGACAAUCAUGCAUUUCGGACGAGACUAAUGUUAUCAAGGAUUUUUCAAAUGGCGGUGAUGUGAUGUUGACUGUGGUAUCUAACUUGGGGUCUAAACUUGACGAGGAGUGGAAUCUCAAUUCAACAUAUUCGUAUCAUAUGUGUUCCAAUUGAAAUUUUUUUCAGACAUAUGAGACUGUCAAGUAAGAUGGAGUUGUGAUAGGAAACAACCAGUCUUGGCGUGUUGCUGGAAUCGAUCGAGUUAGAUUAAGGUUGUAGGAUAGGACGGUCAGAACAAUUGAUUAGGUUUGACAUGUUCCAUACCUGAAAAGGAAUCUCAUCUCGUUGAGUACCUGGAUGCAAAAGGGUAUAAUUUCUCGGGUGGAGGUGGAGUCUUGAAAGUCGGAAGGAGUGUCCAGGUCGUACUGGAAGUAUGGAAAAAAUCUCAGUUGUACAUAUUACAGGGAAGCACAGAAACAGUUGAGAGACAUCUGGACAAGUUCAGUGCCGUGGUGAAUAUUCAACUUGGUACAGUACUUCUUGUGAUGAACUCUGAGUCGGUUCAAAGCAUUGCUCAGGGGAGUAUUGAUGAUUCCGUUUUGUCACCAAUUUCAACGGAUACACUAUGUUCAGUUGCUAGGA
rnacentral:lncRNA from 1 species